AUUGAUUUGCAAUAUAUUUUUCGUUUUGCUCCUGAACAUGAUCAUGUUACAUCUAUUGCAUACACGAAUGUGAAAUGUAUGUUUAUCAUGAACAGUGUUCAGACAUGUACCUUUGAAAAUCAGCUCAUUAAAUGUGUAUGUCAACAGCUGUUUGACAUACCAAGUUAAGACUGUUGUUCAUUUGACGGUGAAAAGGUUAAGAUAUUUAUGUUUUACAAUUUAAAUAAAAUGCUUAUAAAUCCAGAAUCCAAAAUAUUUUUUAUUAAGGCUUAAUUAAAUACUCCUUAAAUGCAACAUUUUGGACUAAAUAUUGUUAAAAUUUUCCCAAAACCCCUGCCCACGAUAUUAAUUAAGAGCUUCCUCUUGUACCAAUAUAACUCUUCGUUGAAAAUUAGCCAGGAGCACAGCUGCCUAUGUGACUCAUGACCACAGUUAUCUGCCCCCCGUUGACCAAGAUCUGGAUGUUGUUACAUAUUAUUUAAAAAAAAUCUACUUUAACUUUCAAAUUAAUGUUUGAAAAUACAUGUAAUUCCAAAGGCUUGUAACUAAUGAAAGAAAGCCUCACUUUCCAGUCCAAAGUAGAAAUGGAGGGAUUUUUAAAAAAAUCAACAACAUUAAUUUGAUCAAUAAAAAAGCAUGGCCAGAUGCAAACAGGCUAAUUGCCACCACAUAUUGUUAGGUACUCCCAUGCACUGUCCAAUAAAGUAUGGGGUUGUCAAUGCCAGGUUUCCUGAUGGCAAGUGGUAUAACUUGCAUGUUCACAGGUUGGAAUACUGGGUUCAUCUCCAAGACUAGUGUUGGCUUUAUCGCAUCUAUCAUGACCCACUUUGUGUCACAGUGGAACACUUGAGUGUUGAACCCAUCAUUUGAAACUGGUAUACCAGAGAUGUGUUAACCAAGUCUGUUGUAAAGGCUAUAAGGGCUUUAAUGAUUGUAUGUGUGGUUAAGUGUUGUGCAUUUAUUAAUUAUCCUUUCUUAUUAUUUAAACAGGCCUGCAGUGGUCGAAAUUAGCACAAGCCCACAAGCCCAGCUCUGGUAAAAUGUCUUCCGGGCUUGCUCAAAUUCUGAAUUUUAUAUAGCAGGGCUUGUUAAAAAAAUUGAUGCCAAGCAAUAAGAUUUUUGGGCUUGUUCAUCCAAAAGUCUAAUCUCGAUGACUGGGCCUGGGUGGAAAUGAAGAACCAACCAGCCAGCUGGUCCACUGUACACCCUAGCUGAACUUGGUGUAUGCCAACAUGUGCCAACCUGGUUGCUGAAGCCACGGAUGUAUUUUCAAGGACAGAAACCUGUGCUGGUCAAAACGUGGUCUUAAGUUGAAUUCCGUUCUGUCUCUCGACAAGGUUUUCCGAGAAAGGAAUACUGUAUCCAAGGAAGCAGACAUUUUAUCUGGUGGACGAGGCUGAAUUGCCAGGGAAAGGAAGCGACAGUUUCGUGAGCAGGGCCCACCACUACUUUCAGCGCUAUGAUGUCGGUGAAAAACAUGCUAAGGUUCAUUUUGAUAAUGCAGUCGGUCAAAACAAGAACCACACUGUGCUUUGGUAUGCCAUGUGACAUGUAAUGACAGG